GAUAAGGGACACCAUUUAAGGGUUGUGACUUGAGAGUUGUGUUGCUUGAGAGUAGGAAACGAUUCGGGGAAGAUGACAACGACAGUUUUUGAUGAUGUCAGCUACUCAAAAGAAGAGAAUUUUUUAUCCCUUAGAUCAUCAAAUUAAAACAAUUUCAACCGUUCGAUUAAAACUUUUUUUUCCUAUAAAAAAGGUGACAUCAGCAGGUCAAAAAAACAGGUUUGCUAUUAUAUAUAGAUACUUAUGUUUGUUUGUUG
rnacentral:lncRNA from 1 species